CAAAGGAGAGGGUUGAGUGGAGGAGACGAACAACGGAGCUUGAGGCGCUCGUCAGCAAUGGUGGGGCCAAACGGUUGAGGAAGGGAGAACGCCGACGAUUAUUGUCGAGGGAAGUUGGUGAGUCCUUGUGAAGAAGAAGACAUGGGGUGCUGAGAGGAAAGGAAGAUCAAGAAGAAGGUGGGACAAAGAGGCCGAAAAUUGAGGGGGCACGGCCUGACUCGACCCGACCCGACCCACAUGAAAAUUCCAAUUAGCUUAGUCAAGGGGACACUUGAAGACUCGAUAAAGUUUUGGGAAGUCUAUGAUCAGGUAAGUAACCAUCUAGAGCAAGUUUUUAAGUAAUUGCUUGUAGGAGUCGGUUUGGAUUUGUGCCCAAAUAAUUUAGUACCGUAUUUUGGAAUGGAUAAAGUUAGUUCAUGGAGGUGGUACUUCGAUAAUGUGUGUGGAUGUACUUUGAUUGUCGUUAUGGUUAUAUACAUUCGUUGGCAUGAAUGUGAAACUGCUGAUAGGCGUUUGAGAUGGUAUGUUUUUAUGUUGAGCUAGAUGGUUAUUAUGUGAUGUAGCAUGGUGACGUGUUGUUGCUGUGGUUCUUUGUUAGGCAUUGGUGUGGGGCUUGGGUAGCCCAUGGUUACCCUUUGUGAGUUGGAUCAUUUAUUAGGUGCUAGUUAUCAUAAGUUAUGAAGCACAUAGAUGACAGUGUACCGUUUU